rnacentral:rRNA from 1 species
CAUAGAAUCGCCGUUGAAACUGGUUGGCUUGAGUACGAUUGAGGCAGGCGGAAUUCGUGGUGUAGCGGUGAAAUGCUUAGAUAUCACGAAGAACUCCGAUUGCGAAGGCAGCUUGCUAAAGUGUAACUGACGUUCAUGCUCGAAAGUGUGGGUAGCAA